CUUAAUUAAAAUUAAGAGUGACGGGCGAUUUGUGCAUGCGAGAUUACAUUUUCAUAACUUAUUUUUUUUUCCUUCUUCUGAUUUUAAUCUUAAGUCCUGCUUCCCCUUUGCUCUAUUCUGAUCCGAAUUUUUAUAAUGUAUUACACCUCCUCUUCUAAAUGUCUUUUGUCUUGAUUUGUUUUUUUAUUUGAUUAAUUUUUUAAUCUUAAUUAAAUUAGAAUUUUUAAACAAUGAUAUAAAAAGUAAAAUAAAAAGUUGAUUUAAUCGUGGGUUAUCGAUAAUGGGGCAUAAUCCCCUAUUAUGCUCUUACACCGCCAUCCUAUUUAGAUUUGGUUUAUUUAAUUACUUUCUUUUUUUACCUUAAAA
rnacentral:rRNA from 1 species